rnacentral:rRNA from 1 species
UCGAACGAGCUUCCGUUGAAUGACGUGCUUGCACUGAUUUCAACAAUGAAGCGAGUGGCGAACUGGUGAGUAACACGUGGGAAAUCUGCCCAGAAGCAGGGGAUAACACUUGGAAACAGGUGCUAAUACCGUAUAACAACAAAAUCCGCAUGGAUUUUGUUUGAAAGGUGGCUUCGGCUAUCACUUCUGGAUGAUCCCGCGGCGUAUUAGUUAGUUGGUGAGGUAAAGGCCCACCAAGACGAUGAUACGUAGCCGACCUGAGAGGGUAAUCGGCCACAUUGGGACUGAGACACGGCCCAAACUCCUACGGGAGGCAGCAGUAGGGAAUCUUCCACAAUGGACGAAAGUCUGAUGGAGCAAUGCCGCGUGAGUGAAGAAGGGUUUCGGCUCGUAAAACUCUGUUGUUAAAGAAGAACACCUUUGGGAGUAACUGUUCAAGGGUUGACGGUAUUUAACCAGAAAGCCACGGCUAACUACGUGCCAGCAGCCGCGGUAAUACGUAGGUGGCAAGCGUUGUCCGGAUUUAUUGGGCGUAAAGCGAGCGCAGGCGGUUUUUUAAGUCUGAUGUGAGAGCCUUCGGCUUAACCGGAGAAGUGCAUCGGAAACUGGGAGACUUGAGUGCAGAAGAGGACAGUGGAACUCCAUGUGUAGCGGUGGAAUGCGUAGAUAUAUGGAAGAACACCAGUGGCGAAGGCGGCUGU